rnacentral:lncRNA from 1 species
GCGAGCCGGGACUGGGAUGAGAUGACGUUGAAACUGCAUGCAUGGGCCGGCCGGGAUGCUACGCUUCUAGACGUAUCAGUACCGCGUCGGGUCCGGUCCGGUCCCCACCCGUCCUAAACACCGUACGCGCUCAAUUUAUUUGGUUGCAUGCAUGCAUGCAAGUGCAACAAUGCUAUGGGAUGUCACUUACAAACCGCAUGAGAAGAAGAAAAAAUUGGAACAUGGAUGUACGUAUGACAGUUUAUUAACCGGUUCCGCUGAAAGCAGGUAACAUCCGGCCGGGCCUAAUAAAAUACGUACGGGCCCGUAAUCCUCGUCGGACGUUCCAACGUGCGCAUGCGUGUUGAUCUGUUAUGAUUAAACAUGCUCGUUGCUAGCUAGCUACGGAGUAUGAUCUAUAUUUCAUUCGUCCAAGCUCUGCUUAAACUAUAUUUCAGAAAAGGGCGUUUCAGAAAAAACAACAUUAACCGCUUCUAAUCUUGCGAGACCCAAGCGCGUGAUUGUAUUCGAUCGUUUUCCUUUAUCUGUCCCGUUUCGUUCCGCGUUGCUUCCUCCAUAUCUUCCUGUUCCUUUCAUUCGCGGCAGACGCGGUAAGAAUAUAGGCCGAUCGAUCGAUCGAUCACUUAUCUGUAAAUUCUUAUUUGGAACACGUACUUUAUAUCUGCAGUACUGUAUAUCCAGAAUUCCAGAUGGCUCCUGCCGGUUGCUGUGUUUUUUUUUUUUAGAAUCGCCGGUUGCUGUGUGUGUGUGUCUUGAAUUGCUUGCCGCAGUCACAGUCGCAGCCCACUCGGAAAAGCGCGUCAAGUGUACUGUGUACGUAGGCUCCCAAACGGGCCCGUGUUUGGUUGUGCACUUGUGCGACAGGCACUGGCUAGUCUUUUUUUUUUCUUGAGAUGUUUUUUUUUUGAAGAAUUCUUGAGAUGUUGUAGCAAAGCAUUAGAGACAGGCAGACGUCGAUCUGAACCUGUACGGCUUUAGAUAAAACACGCGUGAACCCUGUGCUGCAGAUUAAUAAAUCCAAGAGGGCCUGAUCUCACGUGGGAAGACGCGAGGCCCUGUCAGGCAUUUCCUUUACGCUUGUGACGUACCUGGCCUAAUCGUUAAACGGUAAAUUCUUAUUGGCUUUGCGCAAACAGCAAAGCCUGGAUUCUUCUUCCUUCGAAACGAAUCCUCCAGCAAGUCAGCAACUAGCAAUGAGUCGGCUCGGUGACUUGAGUAGCCACUUAAUCUAGCAAACGGACACGAAGGGAUACAAGCUAGGGACGGUAGACGGUAGUAUUCCCGUUUUCCGGUCAAGAAAAUCACCGGCCGGGCAGUACCGCAGUACUACCACAAAGCACACACGGCGCUCGGAAGUGAGUGCGCGACGUGUUCUCGAAGGUCGUCGACCAACCCCCUGCGAGUACUAUACUUGCACGGUGUUUAAUUCUCGUCUUCAUCUGUUUCCCCAAACAAAGAAAAAUCUCUUCGAUCGAUCGUCCCACCCUUAUCUCUUUGCCUUAUCAGGUUCCUGGAACGUUCCGCGAGAGGAAAUGUAGGGAUAUAUAUAUUCUCGUUAACCUGCGCUCGUUUCUUCCUUUUGCGUACUGAAUUGAAGUGUCAAGUGUCAACUACGUCCAGAAAGUCAGAUAUGCAUGAUCGAGAUGUACGUAUACAUAGAAGGUUCCAACAUAUGAUUUGCUGGUUAACUGAAUUCUGAGACACGCCCAUAUAUGACCGUAUCGAACAAACACAUAAUUUGCUGGUUCUCAUCAGGUUUGCUAUUGAGAAGUUGCUUGUUUUUAAAUUAGAAAUCAGCCGACAUGUUUGACCGUCGGAUUUUAAUUCAACGAUAGCAAGUGGAAGAGAAAAGAGUGAUGAUGACUUUUAGAUCUUGACCCAACUGUUC